rnacentral:rRNA from 12 species
CGGGUGAGUAAUGCUUGGGAACUUGCCUUUAGGAGGGGGAUAACAGUUGGAAACGACUGCUAAUACCGUAUGUGCCCUAUGGGGGAAAGAUUUAUCGCCUAAGGAUGGGCCCGCGUUGGAUUAGCUAGUUGGUGGGGUAAAGGCCUACCAAGGCGACGAUCCAUAGCUGGUCUGAGAGGAUGAUCAGCCACACUGGGACUGAGACACGGCCCAGACUCCUACGGGAGGCAGCAGUGGGGAAUAUUGGA